CUACGGGAGGCACCAGUGAGGAAUAUUGCACAAUGGGGGGAACCCUGAUGCAGCAACGCCGCGUGGAGGAUGACGCAUUUCGGUGUGUAAACUCCUUUUAUAUGUCAAGAAAAUGACGGUAGCAUAUGAAUAAGCACCUGCUAACUCCGUGCCAGCAGCCGCGGUAAUACGGAGGGUGCAAGCGUUACUCGGAAUCACUGGGCGUAAAGGACGCGUAGGCGGGUUGGAAAGUCAGGUGUGAAAUCCUACAGCUUAACUGUAGAACUGCACUUGAAACUUCUAAUCUAGAGUAUGGGAGGGGGAGAUGGAAUUAGUGGUGUAGGGGUAACAUCCGUAGAUAUCACUAGGAAUGCCUAAAGCGAAGGCGAUCUCCUGGAACAUUACUGACGCUAAGGCGUGAAAGCGUGGGGAGCAAACAGGAUUAGAUACCCCCGUAGUC
rnacentral:rRNA from 1 species